GUUGCUGAAAGGCAGAGAUUCCAAGUGUCUUUCUGACAUAUCUUUGAUAGAUAGCUUCAUAGGUUGUUCAUUCAAGAGUUAUAUUCAAGAUAAAUCUGAACAUUAGGUCUCCUAGCAGAAGACACAUCUGGAACAUGCAGCAUGGUUUGGAAAGACUGGAUAAACCUUGAGACACUGAUUGCCAAGCUCCUUGGAGUGCGACCACAGCAGCAACCAGCGGGAGCUCUGCAGCCCAUUCGGGAAAUCUCUGUUCUUCAGAAACGUGCUACCUCUGCUGUAUGGAGAUCUAUGCUCAGCACAGAGAAAUUACAGCUUUGGCUUUUGGCUUUUCUUCUGCCAUCUAUCACAAGCUCUUUGGUGGUCUGGUUCAGUAAGUGCAUCCAUCUAUAAAAUAACCAUUCUGGUAGA